CCAACUGCGCCACUGUGCAGCCAUGUUUAAUUUUCACGUUCCAUAAAUUAUUUUAUCCAUUUUUAGCUUCAUUUUGAGAAGAUUGUCAGAUGCUGAUCAGGUUUUGCUUGUUUCUGCCUGAAAAGCCAACAAGCCGAUCCCAGAUCUGGAGAGCCAGGAGGAGGAAGGCGGUGAGGAAGAGGAGCAGCAGCCCAGCGGUGAGGCGGCUGAGAGUCGCAGUCGACCUGGGARCCUCUCUGAUGAAGGGGCGGAGCCAACAACGAMCUUCAGGCUAAACCAGGAACACCUGAAGGACAAACAUUAUGGGAAACCACCAAGGAAGCGACUCGCCGUGUCCAAGUUCUACAAUCUGAGAGCGAUGAUCACGGAGCUGCUGAGACGGGCGGCCAGAGACGUGCUGGCGGCGGUGGAGGGGACCGCGGCCUGGAACCAGGAGGACGAGGCGAGCUUCGGGCGGGACGUCGACGGCCAGAGGAGGCAGCUGGAGCUGCUGCUGGUCAGCCACCAGCAGGCAGGUCAGUGGAAACCAGUCRCAGCUGGUGGGUUUACUGGUUCAGAGCAGCUGGGAUUCUGAUCAUCACUGAGUCCGAGAGGAACUGGCUACAUUUACUUCACUUGCUUUUUGGAGAAAACAUGCAUGAUAGGUAUUUUUCUAGAACCUACAUAAAAGAACCACAGACAACGUGUAUGAAUUUUAUAGCCAAGCUUUUGCAAAAGGAGA